rfam:Brachypodium distachyon strain Bd21 chromosome 4, whole genome shotgun sequence.
UAUAUAUUCCCUCCGUCCAACAAAGGAUGUCUCAAAUUUGACUAAAUUUGAAUGCAUCUAUACACUAACUCAUGUCUAUAUGCAUCCAAAUUUUGACAAACUUGAGACAUUUUUUGUUGGACGGAGGAAGUAUGAA